rnacentral:rRNA from 1 species
UCUUGCAUAAUCCAAUAAGCGGAGGAAAAGAAAAUAACAAUGAUUCCCCUAGUAACUGCGAGUGAAGAGGGACAAGCUCAAAUUUUAAAUCCAUCGGGUUUUACCUGAUCGAGUUGUAAUUUGAAGAAGCGUUUUCUGCGUAUUUGAUCAGCCUAAGUCCUAUUGAAUGAGGCAUCAUGGAGGGUGAUAAUCCCGUCCGGUUGAUCAUAUGCGUUUUACGAUACGCUUUCUAAGAGUCAAGUUGUUUGGGAUUGCAGCUUAAAAUGGGAGGUAAAUUUCUCCUAAGGCUAAAUAACGGCGAGAGACCGAUAGCGAACAAGUACCGUGAGGGAAAGAUGAAAAGAACUUUGAAAAGAGAGUUAAACAGUACGUGAAAUUGUUGAAAGGGAAACGAUUGAAGCCAGUCGUACCUUCGGGUAAUCAGCCUUUCGGGUGCGAUUAUGUGGAGUGUGAGGAGCUUAAACACCUUCAUGUUUUGCAUAUUCGUACUCUUGGGUGUACUUGCCCGUGUGGUUGGUUAACAUCAAUUUUGGUGGUCAUAAAAUGACUGGGGGAAUGUAGCUUCGAUCUUGUAUUGAAGUGUUAUAGCCUUCGGUAGAUGUGAUGAUCGAGAUUGAGGAUUGCAACGGAUACCCUUCGGGGCUACCUGUCUGGUCUCUGAUCGUUGCUCUGGUGCCGAAAGCUUGCUUACGGUUAUCAAAGUCGAUGGUCAAUAGGUAGAACGGGUAAUCGUACGUG